GCAAUUUCGGUGAAAAGAAGAGUAUCCUUUUAAAAGCUUUUAGCGAGCGGGAAGUGGUGGAAGCCCCGUAGAACUUUAAUUGGAGAAAAGAGCCUUGGAGAAGCUGCUAAGUUAUAUUCAUUGUAAUAUAAUGAGGUAAGCCGUUAACUGCGUUAAAGUUUCAAGUGGACUUAACAGUCAACUAGAGUGGUACCGCGGAUAUGUCCGUCUCUGUU
rnacentral:ncRNA from 1 species